AGAGUUUGAUCAUGGCUCAGAUUGAACGCUGGCGGCAUGCUUUACACAUGCAAGUCGAGCGGCAGCGCGGGGGCAACCCUGGCGGCGAGCGGCGAACGGGUGAGUAAUGCAUCGGAACGUGUCCCGUAGUGGGGGAUAACUCAGCGAAAGCUGGGCUAAUACCGCAUAUGCUCUACGGAGGAAAGGGGGGGACCGCUCGGGCAACUGAGGGGCCUCCCGCUAUGGGAGCGGCCGAUGUCCGAUUAGCUUGUUGGUGAGGUAAAGGCUCACCAAGGCGACGAUCGGUAGCUGGUCUGAGAGGAUGAUCAGCCACACUGGGACUGAGACACGGCCCAGACUCCUACGGGAGGCAGCAGUGGGGAAUUUUGGACAAUGGGGGCAACCCUGAUCCAGCCAUGCCGCGUGCGGGAAGAAGGCCUUCGGGUUGUAAACCGCUUUUGUCCGGAAAGAAAAGGCAUCCCCUAAUACGGGGUGUCCUUGACGGUACCGGAAGAAUAAGCACCGGCUAACUACGUGCCAGCAGCCGCGGUAAUACGUAGGGUGCGAGCGUUAAUCGGAAUUACUGGGCGUAAAGCGUGCGCAGGCGGUUCGCUAAGUCUGAUGUGAAAGCCCCGGGCUCAACCUGGGAACUGCAUUGGAAACUGGCGAGCUUGAGUGUGGCAGAAGGGGGUGGAAUUCCACGUGUAGCAGUGAAAUGCGUAGAGAUGUGGAGGAACACCGAUGGCGAAGGCAGCC
rnacentral:rRNA from 1 species